rnacentral:rRNA from 1 species
CUACGGGAUGCAGCAGUGAGGAAUAUUGCACAAUGGGGGGAACCCUGAUGCAGCAACGCCGCGUGGAGGAUGACGCAUUUCGGUGUGUAAACUCCUUUUAUAUGUCAAGAAAAUGACGGUAGCAUGUGAAUAAGCACCGGCUAACUCCGUGCCAGCAGCCGCGGUAAUACGGAGGGUGCAAGCGUUACUCGGAAUCACUGGGCGUAAAGGACGCGUAGGCGGGUUGGAAAGUCAGGUGUGAAAUCCUACAGCUUAACUGUAGAACUGCACCUGAAACUUCUAAUCUAGAGUAUGGGAGGGGGAGAUGGAAUUAGUGGUGUAGGGGUAAAAUCCGUAGAUAUCACUAGGAAUACCUAAAGCGAAGGCGAUCUCCUGGAACAUUACUGACGCUAAGGCGUGAAAGCGUGGGGAGCAAACAGGAUUAGAUACCCCCGUAGUC